UGGGGAAUAUUGCACAAUGGGCGCAAGCCUGAUGCAGCCACGCCGCGUGUGUGAAGAAGGCCUUCGGGUUGUAAAGCACUUUCAGCGGGGAGGAAGGCGUUAAGGUUAAUAACCUUGGCGAUUGACGUUACCCGCAGAAGAAGCACCGGCUAACGCCGUGCCAGCAGCCGCGGUAAUACGGAGGGUGCAAGCGGUAAUCGGAAUUACUGGGCGUAAAGCGCACGCAGGCGGUCUGUCAAGUCGGAUGUGAAAUCCCCGGGCUCAACCUGGGAACUGCAUUCGAAACUGGCAGGCUAGAGUCUUGUAGAGGUGGGUGGAAUUCCCGGUGUAGCGGUGAAAUGCGUAGAGAUCUGGAGGAAUACCGGUGGCGAAGGCGGCCCCCUGGACACUGACUGCCGCUCAGGUGCGAAAGCGUGGGGAGCAAACAGG
rnacentral:rRNA from 1 species